CCCUCGUAAAAUUGUUAUUUUAACAAAACGUUUUAAUCAUUUCAAUUGAGAUUGAUCAUAUUCAUUAUGAAUUUUUUAAAGAAUUUCCUUUUGGUCCUGGUCAUUUUAGCCAUUUCUAUGGUUACCAUUGAGGCGGGCAAUAAUUUUUCAAAAUCCAGUGCUCCAGUAAAAGAUACAAAAGCAACUAAUGCAAAUAAAGGAAAUAAAACCGAAACCAAGGGUUCCACUGGCAAUAAAUCGAAUGCGCAGGGUUAAAUCAUAUUUAAAUUAUUACGAUUGAUCUAAAUGAAGUUUAUUUAGCUUGUAAUAAGGUUUAAAUCCCAAACAUUUAAAAAAUAUUUAAAAUUUUUGUAUUAAAAUAAUUCAGUUUUGAAGAUA